rnacentral:rRNA from 1 species
AGCAGCCGCGGUAAUUCCAGCUCCAAUAGCGUAUAUUAAAGUUGUUGCAGUUAAAAAGCUCGUAGUUGAAUUUCGGGAUCAGCAGGUCGGUCGUGCCACUGGUAUGCACUGGCCCUGCUGAUUCCUCCCUCUUGAUGAGCCGUAAUGCCAUUAAUUUGGUGUUGCGGGGAAUCAGGACUGUUACCUUGAAAAAAUUAGAGUGUUUAAAGCAGGCAUGCGCUUGAAUACAUUAGCAUGGAAUAAUGAAAUAGGACGUUCGAUCCUAUUUUGUUGGUUUCUAGGAUUGACGUAAUGAUUAAUAGGGAUAGUUGGGGGCAUUAGUAUUCAAUUGUCAGAGGUGAAAUUCUUGGAUUUAUUGAAGACUAACUACUGCGAAAGCAUUUGCCAAGGAUGUUUUCAUUAAUCAAGAACGAAAGUUAGGGGAUCGAAGACGAUCAGAUACCGUCGUAGUCUUAACCAUAAACUAUGCCGACUAGGGAUCGGAUGACGUUAAUUUUUUAAUGACUCAUUCGGCGCCUUA